CACACACACACACACACACACACACACACACACACACACACAGUAUAAUGGCCAGGAAAGACUGCAGGAGUCCUUUUAACUGGAUCAUGACCCAUCAUUUCACUGAGGAGAGAAAGAGGGUGAGAAAUGAAGGUAAACAGAGAGCGAGCGCUCCCCGGUGACUCACUGAGGUCCAGGAAGGAGGAGAAGAAAACAAAUUAGGGAGUGAAAGACUGAGGAUAAAGGGAGACCCCAUGUUGAUUAGCUGGGACCAGCAUGAAUACCAAUGAAUGAAGCAGGGAUUAGUAUUGCACACGUUAAAUCCUCCAGAAAAACUCCUCUUAUCUGAACCGCAGGAGGACGGCGUGACACGACAGAGCUCUGGACCUCCUGGUGACGUCGUCAGACACAGACGAGUCCCUCUGAAAGAAAGAGGAAAGAAAAAGAGGGAAGAAGGUGUUUUGUGUCGAUGAACUUUGUCCGUCAAAAAGUUUUCCACUGCGUCCUGUACCCUGACGAAUCACUGCGGAGGUAACUCAGCGGAGGGGAAGCAGGAAGGGAUCCCCUGUAUCGAUCAGCUCCGUCCAGCAUGAAUCCAAAUGGAAGAUUAGUGGUUUAGCUUGAGGCACGUGAAUCUCUCUGGAGCUUCGUCUCCUCUCAGCUGCAGCAGGCUCCACGCCAACAUGGCCGCAGAGGAAGAAGAGCAGGAAGGCUCCUGCUGGAAAAGGAGAUGCUGAGUUUAUCUCUGCUGCAGCCGAUCUCAUUGGGCGAGAGGCGGAGUUCCAUCUGGACAGGACGUCAGUUAGAAAUACCAGAAUGGAGGUCAGGUGGAGAAAGUCUGCAGAUAAUCCAGAGUGAUGACAUUUGCAUUCACACAUUCACCCUCCAGAGAAAAUACAGAGGAUCUCCAGAGUUCAGGUCUGAGAGCAGCUUAGAGUCUCCGGUUCACGUACGUGUUGACUGUGGGAGGAAGCUGGAGGAGACACAAGGAGAACAUGUGGACGCAGCAGGAGGACCUGAACCACGCUGCCCUCUGACUGGGACGGUCUCUAGCCACCGCACUGUGUCGCCUGCAGAGUCUAAAUGAAUAAUCCUGGUGUCUAACAGAGAUUUCCCUCAGAAAAGAUGUUACUGGGUUAAAGAAAGUGAAGUUUGAAGAUUUCAUAACAAACGUUUGCACUUUAUAUUUAGCUACCAAUGCAAUGCUAAUGAGAGAUACACAGGAAAUACAAUCCACAACCAGAUGAACACACACUGAAGCGGAUGUGUGAACAUGUGUAUUUUGAACAUAAUGAAAAUAAGUUUUUGCAGCAGAGUACACCUCAUGUGUUUCACGUGGUGAAACAUCUGAGGAGGCCUCGUCACAUUGUUGAGCACAUGGCAGUGUCCCGGGCCGCGGGCCAAGGUUCUGACAGCUUCCCUCAGACGUGGCUCAGAUUCCAGCCGCUCCCACAGCUGAUGAGCUCGGUGGUUUUGUGGUUUUGGUUUGUCUCUCUCUGUGUCACUUUGUGUUCACCUGAAGUCGGUAGCGUGUGUGCUCCUCUGACAUUCAUGUGACAUAAUGAACAUCAACGUGAACAUGAACAUAAUGUUUUAGAUGCUGCAGCAUCAGAGAUAAAAUCCUCCCUGGGAAAUUCCAAAUUAUGAAUGUUCCUAAAUUUAAAACCAACAUGGAUGAACUACAGCCGAUUUUAAUUCCCACUAUAUUCACAGUACAAGCUUCAGGCUAUGACUACGUGACAAAAUUAAGCGUUGUCUGCUUUGUGAAUUACAGGAAAGGGAAGUAAAUGUAUUUUUCAAAAUACAUUUUGUCAAUAAAUUUAGAUUGAAACAUAUUGUCCACUGAAAUGUUAAUUUUCUGUUGGACCACACUGUGGACCACACACUGUAAAUAAAGAUAGACGACAGCACAGCCAGAAAAGUGAUGCAGCAGUAUAUGUCAUAAACCCUCCUCCUCCAUGUUAGCAGAUGGGACAUGGACCAAACUAAAAAAUCAAAGUAGACGUUAAAUAAAUGUUUCUGUCUGACUCCUGAUUGGUCGAGCACAUGUAGUCGAUUGUCGUGACCUGGAUAUCACAGCUCCACGAUCACAACUGCACAGACUCUGGAGCAUCAGGAGGUAAUUGUCAUUGUCAGUGGAUCAUGAAUCAUUUCACGAUGGUCAAUUUGAAAUAAAUCUCAUGAAUUCAUGAAAACCAGCUGUAGUCUGAUAAAAUACUGAUUUGAAAUACUGUGGGUCUGUGAUCAUAAGAACUGGAGACAUGUUGUAAAACCAGGAGAACGAGGUCUUGGGUUCACAAUGACUUCUUGUCCAUUCUGUUAAAUGUGAGAUUAGAUUUUCAGUAACGUGCACACUCUCCGUCUCCUCUUCAGUGAGUGAAUCAGAUUCAACAGGUGCAGCCGAUUACAGAUCAUUCAUUCAUCUCAUCAUGUCAAGGAAAGUCAUUUCAUGACAAAGCCCAUUUGUCUUCCUCUUACUGACUUGAUAUGAGCCUUUUAAAUAUUGCAAAUAUAUGCUGAGAUUGACACUGAAAUAAAAUCCAGCGCCGUCUGAAA